GUCCGGGUGGCGGAAUGGCAGACGCGCUAGCUUGAGGUGCUAGUCCCCGUAUAGGGGGUGGGGGUUCAAGUCCCCCCUCGGACA
rnacentral:tRNA from 1 species